rnacentral:lncRNA from 1 species
AGCCGGCUCCAGCCUUGGCCAGCCCAGAAAGGGGCUCCCACAGUGCAGCGGCGGGCUGAAGGGCCCCUCAAGCGCGGCCAGAGUGGGCGCCAAGGCGGAGGAGGCGCCAAGAGCCAGCGAGGGCUGUGAGGGCAGCCAGCAUGCUGUCACCUCUCAUUAGGGAGGAAGCAAAGUGAAGAACACAGAUUUCACAGAUGGGAUGCCUGGCUCAAAUUCCAGCUUGACCGCUGGUAGCUGUGUGACCCUCGGCAAGUUACUUGACCUCUCUCUACUCAGUGUCCUCAUCUGUCAGUGUAAUAUGAAUCAGAAAACAUGAACUCAGACUGAUGCUGGAAGCCACCUUAUGACUAUAAGCAGAAUCAGCCUCGUUAUGACGUUGAUGCUAUAAGCAACGGACUGAAAGAUACAAAGAGCAAGCAGACAGGAUGAAAUGCGUAAAUGGCGACAGUAGAGCCAGCCUUCAUGAAUCCAGAAAUGUGAGCCACAUUUUGAGGAUAGCAGAGUCACUGCAGAAGCCUGGAUCCUUGCAUAACCUUGUCGAGUGGGAAAAUCUACCCAUACUUGACCAACCACCUAACUGGGGGCUCUACAUCUGAGAGAAAUGAUUUUUUAUCUUAUUUAAGCCACUGUAGUUAGGAGUCAGUUUAUUACAGGACAUUGCCUGGUGUUCCAACAAAUAAACUACCUUAUUUGUUUCAAUAAA